rfam:Lisianthus necrosis virus, complete genome.
UGUCAGGUUGGAACCCACACUAAUUGAGCUAGGCCGGGCCCCGUCGUAGGUUUGGUCACCUACGGAAUGGGGAUAUGGAAAGGAUCUCGUACCCUGUGAGUCAAACGAAAGUUGUGCUUGGGAUAUGGGUCUAUGCCUAGUAGGUUAUGUGGUGUGUCUCUGACU